AACGAACGCUGGCGGCAGGCCUAACACAUGCAAGUCGAGCGAGGACUUCGGUUCUAGCGGCGGACGGGUGAGUAACGCGUGGGAAUGUGCCCUUCUCUACGGAAUAGCCCUGGGAAACUGGGAGUAAUACCGUAUACGCCCUUUUGGGGAAAGAUUUAUCGGAGAAGGAUCAGCCCGCGUUGGAUUAGGUAGUUGGUGGGGUAAUGGCCUACCAAGCCGACGAUGCAUAGCUGGUUUGAGAGGAUGAUCAGCCACACUGGGACUGAGACACGGCCCAGACUCCUACGGGAGGCAGCAGUGGGGAAUCUUAGACAAUGGGGGCAACCCUGAUCGAGCCAUGCCGCGUGAGUGAUGAAGGCCUUAGGGUUGUAAAGCUCUUUCAGCUGGGAAGAUAAUGACGGUACCAGCAGAAGAAGCCCCGGCUAACUCCGUG
rnacentral:rRNA from 1 species